rnacentral:ribozyme from 13 species
GAGAAAAAAAAAAAAAAAAAAAAAAAAAAAAAAAAAAAAAAAAA